GGGGGGGGGGGGAGGUCGUCAAAAAAAUUUUGUUCCGGAAAAAUUUUUUUUGAACCAGUCGGUUGAAUUGAAUUACACCCCCCCUGAAAAAUUUCCUGAGGACGGCCCUGCUAACAUGAAUGUUUUAUAAAUGCAAUUAUCUCCCAACGAUUAAAUCGACUCGUUUACAUCCAAGGAAGCAAAGUAGUGACAUUUGUGAAACCAGUGAGAAUGGAUACGCCUCAUGGAACCAGACAUUCAAUUGACUAAAAAAUGCAUAAGGCCAUAUACUGUACAAUACUCAUUGCAAUUGUGUCUCUAAUAUAACAGUGUAUCCCAUAUAUCCCUAUAUGUAGUAAUGGGUUCUGAAAGAUCCCCUGGAGGGACCUCAGCUUCUUCGGUUUGACUAGACAAUCUCGAACCUAUACUGCACUGAGCGUAAAAAGCAUGCAAUCGUUAGGCGACAAAAUCAUUAUUUUUCUAUAUGCUAUAUAUUUUAUAUGCAUUAAAUGUAUAUUCCUGUCUCAGUGAAACCCAUUAAAACUGGGCAUGAAUUCCGGCUAUACUCUUUUUAAAAUGAAUACUUAAAUCGUAAAAAAGCCAAAACGCACCCGCUGUAUGGUAGUCACAAUCGAUACAGAUUAACAAACUAUUUCAACAAAUCUCUAUACCGUUUAAAUAAUCAAUGAACUUAAUAUAAAUCUCCAAUAGUUUCGAAAUUCUCAUCAUUUGUAAUGACUGCUUCAUUUCCCUCCAUUUCGCUGUACAGUUUGUGAAACUUUCUAGCUGAAAUAAGUAGGAACAACGCCCACUUGAAAGUCAUGAAUCCCCAAACAAUCACCACGUAACUUCCUUUGGGGUUCAAAUCUAAAAAAAGGAUUCACAUUUGAAGGCAACUGCAUAAGCGUAUGAGACUGCAGUGGCAGGGAAGCA
rnacentral:lncRNA from 1 species